rnacentral:rRNA from 1 species
AACGAACGCUGGCGGCAGGCUUAACACAUGCAAGUCGAACGCCCCGCAAGGGGAGUGGCAGACGGGUGAGUAACGCGUGGGAACAUACCCUUUCCUGCGGAAUAGCUCUGGGAAACUGGAAUUAAUACCGCAUACGCCCUACGGGGGAAGGACUUAUCGAGGAAGGAUUGGCCGGCGGUGGAUUAGCUAGUUGGUGGGGUAAAGGCCUACCAAGGCGACGAUCCAUAGCUGGUCUGAGAGGAUGAUCAGCCACAUUGGGACUUAGAGACGGCCCAAAGUCCUACAGGGGGCAGCAGUUGGGAAUAUUGAACAAUGGACUCAAGCUUGGUCCAGCCAUGCCGCGUGAUUGAUAAAGGUCUUAGGGUUGUAAAGCUCUUUCACCGAUGAAGAUAAUGACUGUAGUCGAAGAAGAAGCCCCGGCUAACUUCGUGCCAGCCGCCGCGGUAAAAC